rnacentral:rRNA from 2 species
UUCGGCGACCAUGGCGAAGGGGAAACACCCGGCUCCAUUCCGAACCCGGAAGUUAAGCCCUUCAGCGCCGAUGGUACUGCGCGGGGGACCGCGUGGGAGAGUAGGACGUCGCCGGAC